rnacentral:rRNA from 1 species
UGAGGAAUAUUGGUCAAUGGGCGAGAGCCUGAACCAGCCAAGUAGCGUGCAGGAUGACGGCCCUAUGGGUUGUAAACUGCUUUUAUGUGGGGAUAAAGUGCGUGACGUGUCAUGCAUUGCAGGUACCACAUGAAUAAGGACCGGCUAAUUCCGUGCCAGCAGCCGCGGUAAUACGGAAGGUCCGGGCGUUAUCCGGAUUUAUUGGGUUUAAAGGGAGCGUAGGCUGUCUAUUAAGCGUGUUGUGAAAUUUACCGGCUAAACCGGUGGCUUGCAGCGCGAACUGGUCGACUUGCGUAUGCAGGAAGUAGGCGGAAUUCAUGGUGUAGCGGUGAAAUGCUUAGAUAUCAUGACGAACACCGAUUGAGCAGGCAGCUUACUAUAGCAUAACUGACGCUGAUGCUCGAAAGUGCGGGUAUCAAACAGG